GAUGAACGCUGACAGAAUGCUUAACACAUGCAAGUCGAUUCAAGUUACCUUCGGGUAAUGAGGAUGGCGGACGGGUGAGUAACGCGUAAGGAACUUGCCUCUUGGUCUGGGACAACUGUUGGAAACGACAGCUAAUACCGGAUAUUAUGAGAUUCUCGCAUGGGAAACUUAUGAAAGCUAUAUGCGCCAAGAGAGAGCCUUGCGUUCCAUUAGCUAGUUGGUGGGGUAAUGGCCCACCAAGGCGACGAUGGAUAGCCGGCCUGAGAGGGUGAACGGCCACAAGGGGACUGAGACACGGCCCUUACUCCUACGGGAGGCAGCAGUGGGGAAUAUUGGACAAUGGGCCACAAGCCUGAUCCAGCAAUUCUGUGUGCACGAUGAAGGUCUUCGGAUUGUAAAGUGCUUUCAGUUGGGAAGAAGAAAGUGACGGUACCAACAGAAGAAGCGACGGCUAAAUACGUGCCAGCAGCCGCGGUAAUACGUAUGUCGCAAGCGUUAUCCGGAUUUAUUGNGCGUAAAGCGCGUCUAGGCGGAAAAAUAAGUCUGAUGUUAAAAUGCGGGGCUCAACUCCGUAUUGCGUUGGAAACUGUUUUUCUAGAGUACUGGAGAGGUGGGCGGAACUACAAGUGUAGAGGUGAAAUUCGUGGAUAUUUGUAGGAAUGCCGAUGGAGAAGUCAGCUCACUGGACAGAUACUGACGCUGAAGCGCGAAAGCGUGGGGNGCAAACAGGA
rnacentral:rRNA from 1 species